UAAUUUAAUGGCCGCGGUAUUUUGACCGUGCAAAGGUAGCAUAAUCAUUAGUUCAUUAAUUGUGGACUUGUAUGAAUGGUUUGACGAAAUAUUAACUGUCUUUUAUUUAAUUUUAGAAUUUAAAUUUUGAGUUAAAAUGCUUAACUUUUUUUAUAGGACGAGAAGACCCUAUAGAUCUUUAUUUUAUUAAUUAUUAUUCGUUUUAGUUUAUUUUUAUUUUUAAUAUUUAUUAAUGUUUUGUUGGGGUGAUAUUGAGAUAUAAUUAACUCUUUUUAUUUUUAUUCAAUUAUUUUUGUUCAUUUGACCUUUUAUUAUUGUUAUAAGAUUUAGAUACCUUAGGGAUAACAGCGUAAUUUUUUUUGAGAGUUCAUAUCGACAAUAAAGAUUGCGACCUCGAUGUUGGAUUAAGAUAAUAAUUAGGUGUAGGUGCUUAAUAAAUAAGUCUGUUCGACUUUUAAAUUCUUACAUGAUCUGAGUUCA
rnacentral:rRNA from 1 species